UGGGGAAUAUUGCACAAUGGGCGCAAGCCUGAUGCAGCAACGCCGCGUGAACGAUGAAGGUCUUCGGAUCGUAAAGUUCUGUUGCAGGGGAAGAUAAUGACGGUACCCUGUGAGGAAGCCCCGGCUAACUACGUGCCAGCAGCCGCGGUAAUACGUAGGGGGCUAGCGUUAUCCGGAGUUACUGGGCGUAAAGGGUGCGUAGGUGGUCUUUCAAGUCGGUGGUUAAAGGCUACGGCUCAACCGUAGUUAGCCUCCGAAACUGGAAGACUUGAGUGCAGGAGAGGAAAGUGGAAUUCCCAGUGUAGCGGUGAAAUGCGUAGAUAUUGGGAGGAACACCAGUAGCGAAGGCGGCUUUCUGGACUGCAACUGACACUGAGGCACGAAAGCGUGGGUAGCAAACAGG
rnacentral:rRNA from 1 species